rnacentral:rRNA from 1 species
CAGUCGCCACGGGAAUACGGAGGGGGCUAGCGUUGUUCGGAAUUACUGGGCGUAAAGCGCACGUAGGCUGCUUCGUAAGUUAGAGGUGAAAGCCUGGUGCUCAACACCAGAACUGCCUUUAAGACUGCAGAGCUAGAACGUCGGAGAGGUGAGUGGAAUUCCGAGUGUAGAGGUGAAAUUCGUAGAUAUUCGGAAGAACACCAGUGGCGAAGGCGGCUCACUGGACGACUGUUGACGCUGAGGUGCGAAAGCGUGGGGAGCAAACAGGAUUAGAUACCCCGGUAGUCCCUGUCUCUUAUAC